rnacentral:rRNA from 1 species
UUAAUUUGGUGUUGUCGGGGAAUUCGGACUGUUACUUUGAAAAAAUUAAGAAGUGUUUAAAGCAAGCUAACGCUUGAAUACAUUAGCAUGGAAUAAUGAAAUAGGACGUUCGAUCCUAUUUGUUGGUUUCUAGGAUUGACGUAAUGAUUAAUAGGGAUAUUGGGGGCAUUAGUAUUCAAUUGUCAGAGGUGAAAUUCUUUGGAUUUAUUGAAGACUAACUACUGCGAAAGCAUUUUGCCAAGGAUGUUUUCAUUAAUCAAGAACGAAAGUUAGGGGAUCGAAGACGAUCAGAUACCGUCGUAGUCUUAACCAUAAACUAUGCCGACUAGGGAUCGGAUGAUGUUAAUUUUUAAUGACUCAUUCGGCGCCUUACG